UACAGAGGGGGCAAGCGUUGUUCGGAAUUACUGGGCGUAAAGGGCGCGUAGGCGGCCUGCUAAGUCGAACGUGAAAUCCCCGGGCCUAACCUGGGAACUGCAUUUGUGACUGCAUGGCUAGAGUUUGUCAGAGGGGGGUGGAAUUCCACGUGUAGCAGUGAAAUGCGUAGAUAUCUGGAGGAACACCGGUGGCGAAGGCGGCAUCCUGGACCGACACUGACACUGAGGAGCGAAAGCCAGGGGAGCAAACGGG
rnacentral:rRNA from 1 species